UCUGUCUGUUAAGCACAGAGGCGUCCCCUGGCACGCCGGGGAGAGCCAGCCAUUGCAAAGACAGCGCAUCCUCCUCGGCGUCCCCGCCCAGGGCUCCGGGCCCCGCCGACCCGACCCCGAGGGAGCAGCCCAGGCUUCGGCCCUGAAACUAGGUCUAGGCCAGCGCCAAGGCAGCCGCCAGAGAAGCAGCCCCACUUUCUCCGAGCAGGAGGGGGAGGCGGGAGCAUUUCCUGUUGUGCAGCUGAACCAGGCGGAGACGUCAUUGCAUUCAAACUCCCUAGGGUGUCAGCGGACAAGGGCCAAAGUUCAGGCCCUUCCAGGGCGGGCCCAGCGCAGAGGGGCGAGGGCAGGGCGGUCGGGGCUCCGGCUCCUGGCACCGGUCCCCGAGCCUGGUGCCCGCACAGCCCGGCCCGGCGCUGGGCGCAGCGGAGCCCCUGAGCAGCCGCUCUUUCUCCCAAUGAACCAGCCGGGCCACUGCUGUGGGCUGGCCUCUCCUUCUGUGUUUUUCCCAGGGUGAAGGCCAAGGCGUGUGUGUGUUUCAAGGUGUUUGAAGGCAGCACUUUCCUUGUGUAAGAUUCUUUGCUUCAUUUUUAACAAAACUGGCUCCCAAGAAAUGCAAUGACCAAACCAUCGGGAUGCUCUUCUUGCCUCGGUUCUAUUUCCAUUACACACUGCAGGACCACAGUGUUUCUGUGAAGCCAGUUCUCUCCGAAAGCAGAGCCCAGCUCGAAGUUAACUGUAGGCAGCAGAUGAAGAUUAUGGCUCACUGAGUGAACAGGAACAUGCAGGAACUAAGACAGAAGUGCAUUAUACAGACACACAAGCACACAGAUGAAUGAAGAAACCUUUUAUGAAAAACCCACCUACCUACAUGCUUCACAACCUCAGGAUUCAGUAAGACCCUUCAGCAUUUUCAAAUCCCAUGAUUUUUUUUUCUUACAAACUGCCCUCAAAAAAGACAGCCUUCUCUUUAUUAAAGGGCCCUUAGCACAAAUUACUACUGCCUUGAUCCCUUCAAAACUGGAUAACUAUACAAAGUACAGCACCUGUCCCUAAGACAGUCCUCAGACCUACAGGACAUUCAAACACUGUCCAUUCCCUCCUCUAGAUGAUAACAAGAAGAGGUAUCAUUACCUCAUACCUUUCAGGCUCUUGGUAAAAGCCAGUAUGUUCUUCAAAUGGAAAUAUAUAAAUAGUACUCAAGUGUUUCAGAACACACUCCCUCCAUCUAUAUUUAAUAUUUCAGAAUAGACCUUCAAUAAAGUCUAAAUAAUAGUAAAAUGCUCAGAUGGCCUAUAAUCAACUGUUAUUGAAACAUCAGUGUUCCCACAUGCAUUAAAUUAUAAUUAAAAAUUAA